CCAGAGGGUCGGCCAGUCGCGGGGAUAUGCAAAUAUUUUCGAGGAAAGUCCGGGCUCCACGAUUAAAAGGUGCCGGAUAACGUCCGGCGGGCAGGGGAGUGAUCGCCUGUUCAGGGACAGUGCAACAGAAAGCAGGUCGCGACGUCUUCGGACACGUGAUAAUGAAAGGGUGCGGUAAAAGCGCACCGCGGAUCUGGCAACAGGUCCGGCACGGUAAACCCCACCUGGAGCAAAACCAAAUAGGGGCGGCACAUGGCAUUUUCGGCCUGCUGCCCGGGUUGGUUGCUAGAGCGGUGCAGCAAUGUAUCGCCCAGAUGAAUGACUGGCUAUUCCUCUACCGAGGAUGGACAGAACCCGGCUUACAGACCCUCUGGUAUU
rnacentral:RNase_P_RNA from 1 species